rnacentral:rRNA from 1 species
AAGGCUCAGUAACACGUGGAUAACCUGCCCUAUGCUCUGGAAUAACCUCGGGAAACUGAGAAUAAUACCGGAUAGAUCACAACGCCUGGAACGGUGUGUGGUUGAAAGAUUACGGCAUAGGAUGGGUCUGCGGCGUAUCAGGUUGUAGGGGGUGUAACGGACCUCCUAGCCAUCGACGCGUACGGGUGUUGGGAGACAUAGCCCGGAGAUGGAUUCUGAGACACGAAUCCAGACCCUACGGGGUGCAGCAGGCGCGAAAACUUCACACUGCAGGAAACUGUGAUGAGGGAACUCCAAGUGCGUGCACUUAGUGUGCGCUUUUGUUGACUAUUAAUCGGUCAAUGAAUAAGGGCUGGGAAAGACCGGUGCCAGCCGCCGCGGUAAUACCGGCAGCUCAAGUGGUCGUCGCUUUUAUUGGGCCUAAAACGUCCGUAGCCUGUUUGGUAAAUCUGUGGGUAAAUCAACCAGCUUAACUGGUUGAAUUCUGCAGAGACUGCCAGACUAGGGACCGGGAGAGGUGUGGGGUACUCUAGGGGUAGGGGUAAAAUCCUGUCAUCCUUAGAGGACCACCAGUUGCGAAGGCGCCACACUGGAACGGAUUCGACGGUCAGGGACGAAGCCUAGGGGCACGAACCGGAUUAGAUACCCGGGUAGUCCUAGGUGUAAACGCUGUGAACUUGGUGUCGGGGAUCCGUCAUGGGUCCCCGGUGCCGGAGUGAAGAUGUUAAGUUCACUGCCUGGGGAGUACGGUCGCAAGGCUGAAACUUAAAGGAAUUGGCGGGGGAGCAC